AUACGUAGGGUGCAAGCGUUAAUCGGAAUUACUGGGCGUAAAGCGUGCGCAGGCGGUUUUGUAAGACAGUGGUGAAAUCCCCGGGCUCAACCUGGGAACUGCCAUUGUGACUGCAAGGCUGGAGUGCGGCAGAGGGGGAUGGAAUUCCGCGUGUAGCAGUGAAAUGCGUAGAUAUGCGGAGGAACACCGAUGGAGAAGGCAAUCCCCUGGGCCUGCACUGACGCUCAUGCACGAAAGCGUGGGGAGCAAACAGGAUUAGAUACCCUGGUAGUCCCCGCCCUAAACGAUGUCAACUGGUUGUUGGGGAUUUAUUUUCUCAGUAACGAAGCUAACGCGUGAAGUUGACCGCCUGGGGAGUACGGCCGCAAGGUUAAAACUCAAAGGAAUUGACGGGG
rnacentral:rRNA from 1 species